rnacentral:rRNA from 1 species
UGGGGAAUUUUGGACAAUGGGCGAAAGCCUGAUCCAGCAAUGCCGCGUGUGUGAAGAAGGCCUUCGGGUUGUAAAGCACUUUUGUCCGGAAAGAAAUCCUUGGCUCUAAUACAGUCGGGGGAUGACGGUACCGGAAGAAUAAGCACCGGCUAACUACGUGCCAGCAGCCGCGGUAAUACGUAGGGUGCAAGCGUUAAUCGGAAUUACUGGGCGUAAAGCGUGCGCAGGCGGUUUGCUAAGACCGAUGUGAAAUCCCCGGGCUCAACCUGGGAACUGCAUUGGUGACUGGCAGGCUAGAGUAUGGCAGAGGGGGGUAGAAUUCCACGUGUAGCAGUGAAAUGCGUAGAGAUGUGGAGGAAUACCGAUGGCGAAGGCAGCCCCCUGGGCCAAAUACUGACGCUCAUGCACGAAAAGCGUGGGGAGCAAACAGGAUUAGAUACCCUGGUAGUCCACGCCCUAAAACGAUGUCAACUAGUUGUUGGGGAUUCAUUUCCUUAGUAACGUAGCUAACGCGUGAAGUUGACCGCCUGGGGAGUACGGUCGCAAGAUU